CCUGGUGACAAUGGCGGAGGGGACACACCCGUUCCCAUCCCGAACACGGAAGUUAAGCCCUCCAGCGCCGAUGGUACUGCGAAAGCGGGAGAGUAGGUCGUUGCCAGGC
rnacentral:rRNA from 2 species